ACACCUCAACUCUCAUGGUUUUGCCAUGAUGAGCUUGGACUUUGGGGGUCUUGCCGGCCUGCGGUCGGCUCCUCUCAAAUGAAUCAGCUUGCCAGUGUUUGGUGGCGUCACGAGUGUGAUAACUAUCUGCGCUUGUGGUUUUCCACCAGUUAACCUUCAGUGAUGAGGGUUCACUGGAGCUCAUAAAUGUCCCUCCUCUGCGAGGACAACUUUUUGAAU
rnacentral:misc_RNA from 1 species